rnacentral:lncRNA from 1 species
UUUCUACUUGCUGGACAGACUGCUGCCACACCAGCUGGCUAGGUCGCUCUGAGAAGAAAAACUUUGGAUACCAUCAAAAUUGAUCAAGAUUCCAGUCAAAAAAAAAAAAAAGCAACCCGUGGAGGAGGAGAAAUGCCAGAUAAUCUACCAGGGUGUAUCUCAUAAACUGGAUAGAAACCUCACAAAGGAAAGGGUAGAUUCUUAAAGAAGUCCCACACAGCCAAUGAAGAACUGCCUGACACCAAUCUUUAAUGCUCUGGAAAGAAAAUGGGUGAUGCCUCCUAGAGUACACUGGAUCUAACUUGAUUCAUUUGAACUGACUGUGGCCAGAACUUCGGGUACUGCCUCCAAUCAACACAAGAACUUCAAUCAAGAUAAGGACUUCAACAUAGACCUUCAAUCCAGCAUCUCCCAGCAAACAUGAACUGGAUAUAAUUCACUUAAGACUGUCACUAUUCUAACAUUUUCUUCCCACAGACCCCACGAGCCUGUCAGCAUCAGAAUUCAGCAUGAAGUAGCUUGGAGACUACUACAUCCCCUUUCCCCACUGUUGACACCUAGUUGGGCUAGUUUCUUAUUGUUUAAGGUUGGGUUUGGAAGGAGGUGUUCAAGCUUGAACAUCUCUUUCAGAUGAGUUUAAGGUUUAUUUGUAAUGGACAUUGUUAAGAUGUGAUAUUAUUAGAUUAUUAUAUCUUC